UUCCUACGGGACGCAGCAGUGGGGAAUAUUGGGCAAUGGGCGCAAGCCUGACCCAACAACGCCGCGUGAAGGAAGAAGGCUUUCGGGUUGUAAACUUCUUUUGACAGGGAAGAGUAGAAGACGGUACCUGUCGAAUAAGCCACGGCUAACUACGUGCCAGCAGCCGCGGUAAUACGUAGGUGGCAAGCGUUAUCCGGAUUUAUUGGGUGUAAAGGGCGUGUAGGCGGGAGCGCAAGUCAGAUGUGAAAACUCAGGGCUCAACCCUGAGCCUGCAUUUGAAACUGGGUUUCUUGAGUGCUGGAGAG
rnacentral:rRNA from 1 species